GAACUGAACUCAGGUCCUCUGCAAGAGCAACAGUGUUCCUAACCACUGAGCAGUCUCUCCAGCCCCAGAAAUUUAAUCUAAUUUUUCUUUCUUUUCUUUUUUGUUUUUGUUGUUUGGGGCAGGUUCUCAUGAGUCCCAUGCUAGCCUGAGGGCAACCUUAAACUUCUGCCCUGCCUGCCUCCACCUCCUGUGUGCUGGGACUACAGGCACCCAUAUAAAGAGUCUAAAAAUACAAGAAAAGGAAACACACUCACUGGAGCCAACCUGACCAGAAGUACAGAGAAGCUGCCACAGCAGUGACUGAGAAAUGAGCCGGGAAUUCAGGAAUUUCAGGAACUCAGUGACUGGAGCCUGGAAAUUCCACUCCCUGAUGAGUGAGGUUUCCCAUCCUGAGCACUUUCCAGCAGCCUGGGCAGGGCAGAGGAAGAACAAGAACGUGGGAGAGGUGGCCACUGGCCAACCCUGUCACCUCGGGGCAGUGGGAAUGGAUCCCCUGUGCGGCCCUUCAUGUAGCCGAGUGUUACAGCAAUAACGGACAUUACCACCACAACCCCUGACCACAGGGUCAUCAACGGUCAACAGUCUGAUGAAGAAACAUUAUCUCCACUUUACUGUUGACACAGAGGCUCAGAGAGGGUUUUUUGUUGUUGUUGUUGUUUGUUUGUUUGUUUGUUUUGUUUUUUGUUUUUUGUUUGUGUGCCUAAGGUCUGAAAUGGCAGUAUUGGGUGCCCCUAAGCCCAUUAGUUAAGGGCCCUGUAGAGAAUGGCAUGUUGAAUUAUCACCCACCUGUAUCUCACCCCAUAGAGGAAACAAGCAACAGUAUUCCCUUCUAUCAGGGGUCUUCCAGCCAGCCCGUGACCCAUCGUGACCUCUACCAUCCUGGGGCAAGGCUUUGAAAUGGAAACCACAGCUUCCAAAUCCUGGUCAGACAAUGGGGAGAGGAGCUGUCUCCGGCCUAGACAAGUGAAGCUUGGGUAUGGAAAGAGGAGGCCUUUGAGAAGCAAGAAGAGGAGAAAGCCAGCCUAGUCCAUAAACAAAGAGAAGAGGCUAGAGGGCAGCUGGCUCAGCUACGAUGAUGAAGAUGACAUGGCCAGGGACUGCAGGGAACCGAGUGAUCCAGUCCUAAGGACGGAGAGCUCUCCUUCUCCUAAGUCCCAGGGACAGGCUUCUGCAUACUCUGUCAACUGAGGCACACAAGACACCCAUCGGUGACAGAUACACUCCCCUACAGAAGCUGUACUCUUUGGGGACACUCAGGCCCCCACUUUCUCCCGACUCCUACUCAUCAGGAUCCCUCUUUGCUCUGUAUCUUCUUGGGUUUCUAUUUAAAGGCAGAGAGGUCACUAAGUUCAAGCCCUAGCACUGGGAACGUCAGACAGACCUCCAAGGACGUUAGUGGGCCACGGGCACUUUUACCUCACUUUGGAAACAUUACAACAUUAGGGUGCCUUUGUGCCAAGACAGCGCCCACUGAGCCCAGCCUCUUACCUGAUGCCCAGCAGCUCUGUAAGGUUACAGUGCGUGGCUUUUUGUCUUUGUUCUUAUUCUAUAAUGAACUAAUAUACACACUUUAUAUUUAGCUUGGAGGGAAGUUCUUAAGAGCUCCUGUACUGGCUUGUGUGUCAACUUGACACAAGCUAGAGUCAGCAGAGAGAAAGGAGCCUCAGCUGAGGAAAUGCCUCCAUGAGAUCCAGCUGUAAGGCAUUGUCUCAAAUUAGUGAUCAAUAAGGGGAGGGCAGGUGGUGCCAUCCCUGGGCUGGUGGUCCUGGGUUCUAUAAGAAAGUAGCCUGAGCAAGUCAGUAGACCUCAGCCUUGCCAGGCCUCUGCAUCAGCUCCUGCCUCCAGGUGCCUGCCCUGCUUGUCCUGACUUCCUUUGGUGAUGAACAGCAACGUGGAAGCUGAAUAAACCCUUCCCUCUCCAA
rnacentral:lncRNA from 1 species